rnacentral:rRNA from 1 species
CCUACGGGAGGCAGCAGUAGGGAAUAUUGCUCAAUGGGGGAAACCCUGAAGCAGCAACGCCGCGUGGAGGAUGAAGGUUUUCGGAUUGUAAACUCCUUUUGUUAGAGAAGAUAAUGACGGUAUCUAACGAAUAAGCACCGGCUAACUCCGUGCCAGCAGCCGCGGUAAUACGGAGGGUGCAAGCGUUACUCGGAAUCACUGGGCGUAAAGGGCGCAUAGGCGGGAUAGCAAGUCAGAUGUGAAAUCCUAUGGCUUAACCAUAGAACUGCAUUUGAAACUGUUAUUCUAGAGUAUGGGAGAGGUAGGUGGAAUUCUUGGUGUAGGGGUAAAAUCCGUAGAGAUCAAGAGGAAUACUCAUUGCGAAGGCGACCUGCUAGAACAUAACUGACGCUGAUGCGCGAAAGCGUGGGGAGCAAACAGGAUUAGAUACCCCGGUAGUC